rnacentral:rRNA from 1 species
GAUGAACGCUGGCGGCGUGCCUAAUACAUGCAAGUCGAGCGAACAGACGAGGAGCUUGCUCCUCUGACGUUAUCGGCGGACGGGUGAGUAACACGUGGAUAACCUACCUAUAAGACUGGGAUAACUUCGGGAAACCGGAGCUAAUACCGGAUAAUAUAUUGAACCGCAUGGUUCAAUAGUGAAAUACGGUUUUUCUGUCACUUAUAGAUGGAUCCGCGCCGCAUUAGCUAGUUGGUAAGGUAACGGCUUACCAAGGCGACGAUGCGUAGCCGACCUGAGAGGGUGAUUGGCCACACGGGAACUGAGACACGGUCCAGACUCCGACGGGAGGAAGCAGUAGAGAAUCUUACGCAAUGGGCGAAAGCCUGACGGAGCAACGCCGCGUGAGUGAUGAAGGUCUUCGGAUCGUAAAACUCUGUUAUUAGGGAAGAACAAAUGUGUAAGUAACUAUGAACGUAUUGACGGUACCUAAUCAGAAAGCCACGGCUAACUACGUG